GGAACACAUAAUCAUGAUUUAAAAAUAAAUAGCAGAAGACAAAGUAUUUGGCUCUUGGCUCUGCCCACCGCUGAAGUCAUCUGUUCAAGCUCUGGCCACGCUGUACUUGGAGGGCUUUGAGGUCUGGCAACUGCUGGGCUUUGUCCAUAGAGCGCUGGAUCUGUUCACAGAUGACAGACCCGUCCACCACAGUCGGGCUCUACUGGAGCAAGACCCAGCGCUGGGAGAGCCCUGCUGGCCCUCUCCUGGCCUGUCUGUCUGUCUGGUCUUCCUGUCAGAACAGCUCCGCCACCACCUGGAGAGGCAGGAAAAGAGAAGCCCGUUUCUGGCCCGAGCCUCCGGGCGGGAGUGGGAAGGUAGGCGAUCCUCACCCGGGGAUCGGAACCGGCUUCAGGAGGUUACUAUCUGGACACCCGAAGAGCCUGCCUUCCUCCUCGCAGGAGCACCGCGGGGCUUGGUGCCGAGAGAGGCGUCUACUGUUUCGUCACUUCUGUCUCUGAGUGGUCUCACGCGUGCCUCGCCUCCCCACGAAGACGUUGUGACCGCCACUCCCUCCCUCCCCCGGCCAGCAUUCCCUGAGCCCUCUGCCGGCUUUGGGCUGGCAGCAGGCCAUCAGGGGAAAACCCACAUGAGAAAGUGGGAAGUUCACCCACCUUUCACUCCUCUGGGCCUCGGUAGAGGGAAGACUCCACGGCAGCUUCCGGGUGGGUCCUUCGAGCCCCUGAGAGCCACUGCGGUGGUCCCUGGUCCCGUCCUGUUCACAGCUAUAGGCUUUGAGGACUUCACCAAGGAGAGGUGUACUUUUUCUUGGAGCAGCGCCUGCUGUCUUUGGAACACACACUUAGUUCCUGAUGGAACGGACAACCGUAAGUUCUAG
rnacentral:lncRNA from 1 species